UGGGAUUAAAGGUUUUAUUUAUGUGCCUGC
rnacentral:piRNA from 1 species